CUGGGCUCACCCUAUCUUAAUAGGGAACCUGCAGUCUGAAUUUCAAGCACGCUUCCUUUGAGAAUUCACAGAGAACUGCAACCCAAAGGUGAAAAUAUGUUGUGUGCCAGAAGAUUGCCUCAAUCUGCCAGUCAUGCUUUACCAAAGCACUCCACAGCCUAUCUGGUGUGGGAGAGCAGGAGAGAUGUUCCCAGCAAACAGCAGCACAAACUGAUGGCCCUGGAGUUCUAUUGACAGUGCUUCCAAACACUUAUGGCUGUGAGGACAAAAGGAAUGAACGAGCUGCCUUCAGAUUAUGCUAAG
ensembl:lncRNA